rnacentral:rRNA from 1 species
UUAUUCCUACGGGACGCAGCAGUGGGGAAUAUUGCACAAUGGGGGAAACCCUGAUGCAGCAACGCCGCGUGAGUGAAGAAGUCAUUCGUGAUGUAAAGCUCUAUCAGCAGGGAAGAAAAUGACGGUACCUGAGUAAGAAGCCCCGGCUAACUACGUGCCAGCAGCCGCGGUAAUACGUAGGGGGCAAGCGUUAUCCGGAUUUACUGGGUGUAAAGGGCGUGUAGGCGGGACUGCAAGUCAGAUGUGAAACCCAUGGGCUCAACCCAUGGCCUGCAU